CGCCCGCUCAGAAACUCAAAGGAUUGGACGGGGGAGCCACCACAACAGGGUGGAGCCUGCGGUUUAAUCGGACUCAACGCCGGGAAACUCACCAGAUAAGACAGCUGAAUGAUAGUCGGGCUGAAGACUCUACUUGACUAGCUGAGAGGAGGUGCAUGGCCGUCGUCAGUUCGUACUGUGAAGCAUCCUGUUAAGUCAGGCAACGAGCGAGACCCACGCCAACAGUUGCCAGCUCGUCCUCCGGGAUGGUGGGGACACUGUUGGGACCGCCUCUGCUAAAGAGGAGGAAGGAAUGGGCAACGGUAGGUCAGCAUGCCCCGAAUUAUCUGGGCUACACGCGGGCUACAAUGGGUGGGACAAUGGGUAUCGACACCGAAAGGUGAAGGCAAUCUCCUAAACCCAUCCGUAGUUCGGAUUGUGGGCUGCAACUCGCCCACAUGAAGCUGGAAUCUGUAGUAAUCGUGUCUCAAAAUGGCACGGUGAAUAUGUCCCUGCUCCUU
rnacentral:rRNA from 1 species